UACGUAGGGUGCAAGCGUUGGCCGGAAUUAUUGGGCGUAAAGAGCUCGUAGGCGGUCUGUCGCGUCUGCUGUGAAAACUCGGGGCUUAACCCCGGGCCUGCAGUGGGUACGGGCAGACUAGAGUGCGGUAGGGGAGACUGGAAUUCCUGGUGUAGCGGUGAAAUGCGCAGAUAUCAGGAGGAACACCGGUGGCGAAGGCGGGUCUCUGGGCCGUAACUGACGCUUAGGAGCGAAAGCAUUGGGAGCGAACAGG
rnacentral:rRNA from 1 species